CUUAAGAGGUGGCACAACUGAAGUCCCCGGGGAGACUGGGAAGGGAAAAGUGAUCCAGGAGAAAGGGGCCACGACCUCGGCGUCUGGGCCCCAAAGGCACAGGUCAUGCGCUCCUGGGUGGAAGGCGAGUGCGUGCGGGGCUCAGUGCUGCCCCUGCGCACACCUCAAACUUCACGCUAGCAGCACCGUCUGCUCUUAGAGGCUGUGCGUAGUCUAGCUCCCAUGGAGCACAUGCCUUCUCCAUCCCAAAUACCCUUAAACUAGCCCCAAGAGAACUGUGAAACCUCCGGGCCAGCUGGGCUGAGCUGUGGGUGGCAGCACACCAGGUGGCCCGGCACCACUGGAGUGGCCUCUGUGAAGCAGAGCUUGUGAGCUGCGGGUGCUCCUGGCCAGGGGAAUGGUCCGGGCUGCUGCCACCACUGACCCCUCCAGGGGAGGUGCUAUCAGGCAAGCUCCAGGGGCCCUCCAGGGACGCGAGGGGGGCUGGCCUGGUCUGGCCAUCAGUCCUCCAGAGGAUACUGUUCCUACCACAGGGGAGAGACCCCAGGCUCGGGAGGCAGGGCCACACUGUUCUGUCGCCUUUCUGAAGGUUCCGGGUGAUCUCUGCAGCCCUUGGUUCAAAUCUGCACACCAGACGUGGGCUCCGGAGAAGUGCAGGAGGGGGCAGGUGCUGGCGGGGAGACCACGGGGCUAGGAGAGAAGGCUGCCGAGACGCUGGCAUUAAGGCUGGGGCCCAAGCCCUAGGCAGAUGUGAGGGGGAUGUGCGUGGGGCGGACCAGGUGACAGUGGUUUUCAGGGACCUCUGCUGCGGGUGUCUGUGUGGAGUGUGAUCCUGGAGAGAGAGGUGUGUGGCUGGGAGACGUCCCCACCAGGGAGGAGGGGCAGAGGGCCCAGAGAGGAGGACAGCCAAGACCACCGUGCGCCAGGCCUCCCGAUGGGCAGCGUGCCCGGGACUAGUGCUCAGCUGACCGGACACAGCAGCCUGCUGCAGCAGGGGCUGGUUUGCUCAUUCAUCUGUGCAUUAAGGAGGGAGCCUGUAAAGGAGAUGAAUGAGUGGUCCUGAUGGCACUCACUGGCCAUCUCCUGUCUGAUGAGUUUCUUUUUUGUCUCCUGACAAGGGAAGGGAGGGCCGUGCUCUCGGCCCUUCAGACAGACCAAAAGCCCUCAGCCUGACAAAAAGACCAGUGGCAUUAGGAAAGGUAGACCAAGCGAGCUCAGUCUACCCGGAUGAGCACAGAGCGCUCUGCCUCGUCCCGAGUCAUAACUACCUGCUGCAGGAAACCCGCUGGCCUUCAUGAGCCAAAUGCAAUGUGAAUUCUCGCAUAACCAUCAAAGCUCACUGAGAGGCGCCCUCUGUUUGGAAGCAGCCGUGCUCUUGUGUGGCCCAGAGACGCUCUGAGGAGUGGAGAGCUGACACACAGGCGGGCUGGGGUCCUGCUGGCUCCUUCAGGCUCCAUCGCACCAAGUUCCCGAGGACCUGUUAGCAGCUGAUCCUGGCCGGGUGAGCAUCCUUCAAGGGGAGAGAAGUCAGGACUGGAAGUUGCAGUGGGAAACCACCAGGUGGCUCAGCAGAGGAAGGAGUGGAUCCCUGGUCCUGGGCAUUUUUCUUUAGGAUUAUUCCAGCCUUCCACGUAAUUCAUCCAUGAACCGUGUCCGAGGACUGAGGUUGUCACUCUGUGCUACUCACUAUCGGCCUUUGCUCCGGAGUUUCGAGACAGCUGGAGGGAAGGGACCACACAGCCACACGUGAAUUCCG
ensembl:lncRNA